rnacentral:lncRNA from 1 species
GAAUUUCUCUUCUUCCAGUAGACUGUCAUAGGACUAGCCUGAGUGAGCCUCAGAAAAGAACAAGGUUAUACACAGAGGAGCUUCUUAAUUAUUUUUAUUGAAUUCAUUGAGUAUUUUCAAAGUUUCUACUUGUGAAGGAAAAAGAUAUAAGAGAAGAUGCAGAAAAACAAGGAGGAGACAAUGUCAGUGCAGAUUUUUAUUUUUGAAGCAAUGGGAAUUCUCCUCUCAUAUGGAUUUCAUGGGAAAUAGAGGACAAGUCAAGUUUCUGUCUUCACUAUAGUAUUGAAAUACUUCUUCAAUAACUUUGGAAAAGAGAAUGAUACUGAUGACUGCCUACUCUGCCUCACCUAAAUCUGCACAUGCAAGUCAAGAGGUCUUUUGAGACUUUUAACACUCCUCAAGUUAUUAUGGAUCUGAACUGGAAGGGAUUUAAGAAUCAUAAUUUUAUUUUACCAUAACAUUCAUAUACCACUAUUUACAUUAACACUCCCCUACUGUUGGACAUUUAGGAUCCUUCCAAGUCUUUUUCAAUUGCCUCUAAUGAUUCUUUUAAUACAUAUGAAGAGAUAACUCUUGUGUUUUGUUUAGUCUUUAUCAUGUUUUCAUUGGAUAUAUCCAUGAAUGGAACUAUUGGAUGAAAUAUUGGAUUACUUUUGUAUCUGUUCCUAAGGACUGGUGAUUGCUUUCCAAAAAGA